rnacentral:rRNA from 1 species
UACGUAGGGAGCAAGCGUUGUCCGGAGUCAUUGGGCGUAAAGCGCGCGUAGGCGGCCCCGUAAGUCCGCUGUGAAAGUCAAAGGCUCAACCUUUGAAAGCCGGUGGAUACUGUGGGGCUAGAGUACGGAAGAGGCGAGUGGAAUUCCUGGUGUAGCGGUGGAAUGCGCAGAUAUCAGGAGGAACACCAAUAGCGAAGGCAGCUCGCUGGGACGUUACUGACGCUGAGGCGCGAAAGCGUGGGGAGCGAACAGG